rnacentral:rRNA from 1 species
ACUGCCUGCCCAGUGACACUUGUUCAACGGCCGCGGUAUUAUGACCGUGCAAAGGUAGCGUAAUCACUUGUCUUUUAAAUAAAGACCGGUAUGAAUGGCAAAACGAGAACUCAACUGUCUCCUCAGACAAGUCAGUGAAAUUGAUUUCCCCGUGAAGAAGCAGGGAUAAUAAUAUAAGACGAGAAGACCCUAUGGAGCUUUAAACCAAAACUACCCACCCUCUUAAAACUUUAAAAAGUGGAGUUAGCCAUAGGUUUUGGGUUGGGGCGACCGCGGAGUAAAAAUUAACCUCCGAGAAAUAAUUAAGAAAAACACUUCAAAAAAUAAUAAUGUUAAUAUAUUGACCCAAUAAUUGAUCAACGAACCAAGUUACCCUAGGGAUAACAGCGCAAUCCUCUCAAAGAGUCCCUAUCGACGAGAGGGUUUACGACCUCGAUGUUGGAUCAGGACCCCCAAAUGGUGCAAAAGCUGUUAAAGG